UAGGGUUUGAUUAUGGCUCAGAUUGAACGCUGGCGGCAGGCUUAACACAUGCAAGUCGAGCGGUAACAUUUCUAGCUUGCUAGAAGAUGACGAGCGGCGGACGGGUGAGUAAUGCUUGGGAAUAUGCCUUAUGGUGGGGGACAACAGUUGGAAACGACUGCUAAUACCGCAUAACGUCUACGGACCAAAGGGGGGGAUCUUCGGACCUCUCGCCAUUUGAUUAGCCCAAGUGAGAUUAGCUAGUAGGUGAGGUAAAGGCUCACCUAGGCGACGAUUUCUAGCUGGUUUGAGAGGAUGAUCAGCCACACUGGGACUGAGACACGGCCCAGACUCCUACGGGAGGCAGCAGUGGGGAAUAUUGCACAAUGGGGGAAACCCUGAUGCAGCCAUGCCGCGUGUGUGAAGAAGGCCUUCGGGUUGUAAAGCACUUUCAGUUGUGAGGAAAGGGGUGUAGUUAAUAACUGCAUUCUGUGACGUUAACAACAGAAGAAGCACCGGCUAACUUCGUGCCAGCCGCCGCGGUAAUACA
rnacentral:rRNA from 1 species